CGAAAAUUUGCGUCAUGUUAUUCAUCAAAUGGGAGAGGACAUGGAGGAUUUGACGAAACAGUUAAAGAUUGAAGUAAGGAUAAUGUUCAUAUAAGAGGUCUGGUGGCACAGCUGAACAGCACAAUCGGUAGUUUACGCCAAGAGAAAUUAGAUCUUACAUCUCAAUUGGGAAAAUGUAAAGCAAUUAUCGUUCAUCUUCAAUGUUUACUUCAUCAUUCUUCAGAAGAGAAAGCUGUGUCAAGCAUUGAUGAUCAAUGACAAAAAAUCGGUGCAGAGCUUUCCACCAUUUGGCUUGUCUGACCAUUCAGUGUUACUAUUGCAGCCUAAACUAAGACCUGUGCUCACAUCUAGCCGUCGCUUUGUUACUCGAAGAGACACUCGUUCAAGUCGAAGACAAGAACUUGGUAGAUAUCUGAGGUCUAUUGACUGGUCCGUUCUCGCUUCUGUUAAUGGAUGCAAAAACAAACUAGCACUGUUUCUUGACCUUGUUAAAAUUGGCGUAGACACUAUCAUGCCACUCAAAUCUUUUAAAU